GAUAGGGAAAUUCUUGAUUAUUCAACGUCGAAUCGAAUCAUGUCCAAUGGCCAUUGGAAUUUUAUCUAUCCUUCUAUUUUUCAAGAUAAUUCAGAUUUGCUGGCGUGCCGUAAGGUGUUGGGUUAAGUCUCGCAACGAGUGCAACACUCGUGUUUAGUUGCCACUAUGAGUUUGGAACCCUGAACAGACCGCCGGUGUUAAGCUGGAGGAAGGAGAGGAUGAGGCCAAGUCAUCAUGCCCUGGGCGACACACGUGCUACAAUGGGCGGGACAAAGGGUCGCGAUCUCGCGAGGGUGAGCUAACUCCAAAAACCCGUCCUCAGUUCGGAUUGCAGGCUGCAACUCGCCUGCAUGAAGCAGGAAUCGCUAGUAAUCGCCGGUCAGCCAUACGGCGGU
rnacentral:ncRNA from 1 species